GCAUAUAUGUAAGUGGACAUAUAUGUAUAUUGUUGUAUAAAUAGUAUGAGUUGAAUUUUAUGUUGUAUUCUAGUUGUGGUUAUGGUGAAAUUUAUAUUGGAAAUGGAAGAAAAUGGUUCAAGUUGGCAUGGAAAAUUAUUGGAAAUAGUUAUAGGAAAUUAUGUGAUUUUAAUGAAGUUUUUAUGUAAUUAUAGAAGUGGAGUUUUAAAUGUGAAUUAUUAUGUUAGUUGGUGAAUUUGGAAGGAUAAUAGUUCAUAUUGGCAUGAAAGAUUGGUUGUUAAGUGGUUAUGAGAAGUUUUGUGAUUUUAUGGUAGAUUUAUGUAAUUAUGAAAAUGAAAUUAUUAAGGUGCAAAUUAUGAUUAUGGUUGAUGAAAUUGGAAGAUGGAAAUAUGUUAUGAAUAUGUAGAUUGAAGAUUGGAAGUUUUGGAUGGAUUAUGGUUUUGGUGGAAAGUUUGUAUAUUUUGUAUAUCUUGUGAAUAUUUGGUAGAAACGAUAUGAAAUGCUUCCGAAUUAUAUUGUAAUGAUCUUGAUUAGUAAUGAAUGUAAAAACAUUGAGAUUGGUUUGGAAAUGUGAAGUUGGAAUGAAAGCUAUUGCAUUAUGUUGGAAAGAAGACUAGUUGUGUUAUAUUGUGUUUUGUAGUCAUGGUUGUUGUCAUUGUGUUGAUAGUUUGGCCGGGUUGAAUUCCCGGAUUGUUGUUGAUUAAAAAUUGGCUAAGUUGAAUUUUGGGGAUGGUGUAUUUAUAGGGGAGAUGCUGCCCAAAUUUUUGUAGACAAGUAUUGGUUAAGAUUGAAAUCUUAAAGCCUUACAAUUAACAUUUGGUAAUUGUGACCAAAUUGUAGAUUUUGGCGAACUUGAAACUUGAUUUUGGAGACGUGUAUGAAGCGGAAAAGGUCAGCAGACAGGUGGACGUGAUCCUUAGAAGCUCUACCAGCCGCACUUGACAGCGCUCCAGUUGUUCCGGAGCCUCACUCCAGCGGUACUAUUUUAUGCAUAUACAUUCGGGCUUGGUAGCACCCCGGCCCUUUCUAUGUAUAAGUGUACUAUGUCUAGAGGCUCGUAGACAGAUACGUACAGUCAGUCAGGUACAGAUAUAUGUAUAGUGUUUUGGCAUGUUAAUAUUGUUGUACAAGGUAAUAA